AUCCCGGCUCUGUUGUCCGUAAACAAGAAGACGGAAUCCCGGGCUGCGAAGAAAAAUAGGUUUGUGUGCAUUGCCCAACACAAAAUGCUUAAGAAAACUCUGCUCUCGGUAAAACAAUGAAAGGUGGGGCAAAGAGGAAAAAUCAGUCGCGGCUUGGCUUUUCCGACUUGUUGCGCCUUUGGCUAAAUUAUGACAUCGAGAGUUUUAGGGGAAUGGGAUGUCCUUCGAGACGCAGUGAAGUAUUUUUGGAGGAGCAAUGGAGUGGAAUUUUAUGGGACACACAAACAAACGGGAACGGUUUUAUGAAUUAAAAUUCUUAAAACGAAUUAGAUAACAGGCUUCGUAAUAUGUAUAAUAAAAUUUUUAAAUUUCGAGAAAAGCUCUUUAAAAGCAGGCCAUGAAUUACAACAUAGAAGGCCAUGAAAUCAAAGUUAAAUCUGUAGCACUUAGUGAACCAGGCGAGUGGGUUUAGCUCAUUCUAGUUUCGGUUCUCCAACAGAAAACAUCUAUUUGGACGACUACCAAAUUUCUGGGACUGAAAAUCCUACUUCCGUAAUCAGGCUAAUAACAUAAUGUGCAAUCCAGGAAUGUGCUCGAUGCCCGGCACUUGCUGUGGACCGACUGGCGGACUGGGACCCUGCCUGCUCUGCGGACCCUACAAUGGCCAGUGGUUCCGUUCGGUCAACCACUGCUGCGGUCCUUGUGGCCCAUAUGGUUGCUGCUCGUGCUACGGACCGUAUGGAGGACAUUGUUAGCCUGCUUAGAAGGAAUGUAGGUUUUCUUUAUCCGCGAUCUGGAACAGGAGCUUUUAAGAUUGCAGCCGUGAGGCCUCGUCGAAGAUGAGGAGCCAUGCUGAAAAGUUGUUAGGCGAAAUGGAUCCAAAAAUUUGUGUUCGAUGAAAGAUUAUGCCAUCGGAAAUAGAUGUUAAUAAAUUCAACGUAUAAUUCUAA